GAUGAACGCUAGCGGGAGGCCUAACACAUGCAAGUCGAGGGGCAGCACGUCUUCGGAUGGUGGCGACCGGCGCACGGGUGCGUAACGCGUAUGUAACUUGCCCAUAACUGGAGAAUAGCCCAAAGAAAUUUGGAUUAAUCCUCCAUAGUAUUAUGAAACCGCAUGGUUUUAUAAUUAAAGCUCCGGCGGUUAUGGAUAGACAUGCGUCCCAUUAGCUAGUUGGUGAGGUAACGGCUCACCAAGGCUACGAUGGGUAGGGGUUCUGAGAGGAAGGUCCCCCACACUGGUACUGAGACACGGACCAGACUCCUACGGGAGGCAGCAGUGAGGAAUAUUGGUCAAUGGGCGAGAGCCUGAACCAGCCAAGUCGCGUGAAGGAAGAAGGUUCUAUGGAUUGUAAACUUCUUUGCAGGGGAAUAAAGGACGGUACGUGUACUGUUUUGUAUGUACCUUGCGAAUAAGGAUCGGCUAACUCCGUG
rnacentral:rRNA from 1 species